GGGUUCUACCGUUGGUCGGGCAAUAGUCUGUACUGGCGUGUAGAAUUUCUACCUUCUGGGGAACCAUCAUGUUAUUUAUUUAGCGUGGUGGGAAACCAGGACCUUUACCUUGAAAAAAUUAGAGUGUUCAAAGCAGGCUUACGUCUGAAUACAUUAGCAUGGAAUAAUAAAAUAGGACGGUGGUCCUGUUUUGUUGGUUUCUGAAUCACCGUA
rnacentral:rRNA from 4 species